rnacentral:ncRNA from 2 species
UUCUGUAGGUGAACCUGCGGAAGGAUCAUU